AACGAACGCUGGCGGCAGGCCUAACACAUGCAAGUCGAACGAUGCCUUCGGGCAUAGUGGCGCACGGGUGAGUAACACGUGGGAAUAUACCUUUCGGUGGGGGAUAACGUCGGGAAACUGACGCUAAUACCGCAUACGCCCUUUUGGGGAAAGAUUUAUCGCCGAAAGAUUAGCCCGCGUCCGAUUAGCUAGUUGGUGAGGUAACGGCUCACCAAGGCGACGAUCGGUAGCUGGUCUGAGAGGAUGAUCAGCCACACUGGGACUGAGACACGGCCCAGACUCCUACGGGAGGCAGCAGUGGGGAAUAUUGGACAAUGGGCGCAAGCCUGAUCCAGCCAUGCCGCGUGAGUGAUGAAGGCCUUAGGGUUGUAAAGCUCUUUCGACGGGGACGAUGAUGACGGUACCCGUAGAAGAAGCCCCGGCUAACUUCGUGCCAGCCGCCGCCGUAAAAC
rnacentral:rRNA from 1 species